CGGGGGCCGAGCCCGUGCGCCCCGCGUCUUUGUGCCGCGCGGCGCCGCCGCCCAGUCUCCCCCCGCGGGCCGCGCGCCCCGGCUGGAGGGCGGGCGGGAAUAAAGGGCGGCUCCGCGCGGGGCGGCGCGGACAGCCAGCCUCGGACCGCGGACCUCGGUGCUCGGAGCCCCGCCCGCGGCCGAGCAGGAGCGGCGGCCCCCACCCCUCGGGCCCCGGACGCGCGGGAUCAGUAAACAAGGAUGCCACGGUCAUCAGCGAUUACAGCCCUCCCGUGUGAGCUGGUGAGCCCUAAGGGUACUCAGGAAGGAGAAGAAUACGUACAAUCUAACAGCCGUCGGAUCGCAGCCACUCCACACGGGGAGCUCCCCCAGGGAACCAGAAUGUGAAAACACAGGAUACUGGCCCCAGUAGCUGAGAUGCAAAUGAAAGGAAUGAUUGCGCAUUUCCUUUGAUUCUUAAAAAAAAA
ensembl:lncRNA